rnacentral:lncRNA from 1 species
AUGGAGGCGUCUGGGGCAGAAGGACCGUCCCCGUUGUCCCCGUUGUCCCCAUUGUCCCCGUUGUCCCCGUUGUCCCCAUUGUCCCUGUUGGCCCUGUUGGCCUCGUUGCGUCCUUUGGGCCCAUUUUCCCCGUUGUCCCCAUUGGCCCCGUCAUCCCUGUUGGCCCCAUUGUUCCUGUUGGCUCCGUUGUCCCCAUUGGCCCCAUUGGCCCUGUUGGCCCCAUUGUCCCUAUUGGCCCCAUUGUCCCCAUUGGCCCCAUUGUCCCCAUCGGCCCCAUUGGCCCUGUUGGCCCCAUUGUCCCUGUUGGCUCCGUUGUCACCAUUGUCCCCAUUGGCCCUGUUGGCCCCAUUGUCCCUAUUGGCCCCAUUGUCCCCAUUGUCCCCAUCGGCCCCAUUGGCCCUGUUGGCCCCAUUGUCCCCAUUGUCCCCAUUGUCCCCAUCAGCCCCACUGGCCCCAUUGUCCCCAUUGGCCCCAUUGGCCCCGUUGGCCCCAUUGUCCCCAUCAUCCCCAUUGUCCCCAUUGGCCCCAUUGGCCCCGUUGUCCCCAUUGUCCCCAUCAUCCCCAUUGUCCCCAUUGGCCCCAUUGGCCCCGUUGGCCCUGUUGGCCCCGUUGUCCCCAUUGUCCCCAUCAUCCCCAUUGUCCCCAUUGGCCCCAUUGGCCCCGUUGGCCCUGUUGGCCCCGUUGUCCCCAUUGGCCCCAUUGGCCCCGUUGGCCCCAUUGGCCCCAUUGGCCCCGUUGGCCCCGUCAUCCCUGUUGGCUCCGUUGUCCCCAUUGUCCCUGUUGGCCCCAUUGUCCCCAUUGUCCCCAUUGGCCCCAUUGGCCCCAUUGGCCCCAUUGGCCCCGUUGGCCCUGUUGGCCCCGUUGGCCCCGUUGUCCCCAUUGUCCCCAUUGGCCCCAUUGGCCCCGUUGGCCCCGUCAUCCCUGUUGGCUCCGUUGUCCCCAUUGUCCCUGUUGGCCCCAUUGUCCCCAUUGUCCCCAUUGGCCCCAUUGGCCCCAUUGGCCCCAUUGGCCCCGUUGGCCCUGUUGGCCCCGUUGGCCCCGUUGUCCCCAUUGUCCCCAUUGGCCCCAUUGGCCCCGUUGGCCCCGUCAUCCCUGUUGGCUCCGUUGUCCCCAUUGUCCCCACUGGUCCUGUUGUCCCCAUUGGCCCCAUUGGCCCCAUCGGCCCCGGCGCCGUUGUUCCCCCGAAGGUCAAGGGCGCCCGGGGGGACGCGUCAACCUCUACCAGAGCAAUAA